rnacentral:rRNA from 1 species
UACGGAGGGUGCGAGCGUUGUCCGGAAUCACUGGGCGUAAAGGGCGCGUAGGUGGCGACUCAAGUCAACGGUGAAAGCUCGACGCUCAACGUCGAGUCGGCCGUCGGAAACUGGGACGCUUGAGCACUGUAGAGGCAGAUGGAAUUCCGGGUGUAGCGGUGGAAUGCGUAGAGAUCCGGAAGAACACCGGUGGCGAAGGCGGUCUGCUGGGCAGUUGC